UGGAUAAUGAGUUCAUCUGAAUUUUUGGGUGAACCAUCCCUUGAAGUGGUUUACUAAGGGAUUGCUGGGCCUUGCUGGAGUAGUGUCCCCCUACUCCAUGUGCUGUUCACUCCGAGCUGACCAAACUGCUGCACUGGUGAGAGCUUGUCCAACACUUCACAUCUUUCACGAGUGAAGCAGCAGAUGGUCCUUCUGUCCUCCCCCUGUGUGGACGGUUCCCAUGGUAACCUGUGGAGUGGGGGGCUCUUCACAGGUGAGUGAUGCUCCGCCAUGAUCUGCUUGUUGCUGUGAGCAGCAGUGCUACACGUGAUGGAUAUGAUUAUUAUUAUUAUCAAGACCUGGCUCGACGCAGGAAAACGAUCAUUGGCUGGGAGGACUAAUACUACACGUGGUAUCAAGUGCUGUGUGUGAUACACGCUAUAGCCGACCUUGGCGGUCAGAUGAGAUCAAACCUCAUCAGAUCAGCUGUUACAGAGGUUGAUCCUUAACCACUUGUCAGUGCUGUGAGGAUCACUGCGGAUGAAGCACAUUAACUGUAAGCCCGACAAGGAGGGAGAAAGUGGUCUGCAGAAAAUUCAGAGUGUCACCUUAAAGCUACUGCUACUAUAACAUUACAAAGCUGGUAAAAGCCUUACGAUCUGCCACGUGUGGCUCAAUGAAAUGUGUUAGUUUAGUUCUACUCGGUGUGAUUGAGCCUGAAUUCAGGUCCCAAAGAAAAUCUCACCAUCCAGAAAUGUGGAGGAUUAAUACCAAACAAAUUUAAAAGAGUCUUUGUCAAUGAUUUUUGUUGAAGCAAAUGAAAAUCUAAAUUAAACUUGGACAUUGACUGUUUGACAUGGGGAAGAAACAUCUGUGAAUAAUGAAUGUGUUGAAGUGUUCACUCAGUUAGACUUUAAAUGUAACCGGUUUACUAUUACAUUUUCUCACCACAGUUAUGGUGACAAAGUUGGGACACUGCAACUUGCCAUUUUGGAAUGAUUGACUUGUAUUGGAUUAAAAUGAAAAC